rnacentral:rRNA from 1 species
AUUGAACGCUGGCGGAAUGCUUUACACAUGCAAGUCGAACGGCAGCACGGGGGCAACCCUGGUGGCGAGUGGCGAACGGGUGAGUAAUACAUCGGAACGUGCCCAGUCGUGGGGGAUAACGUAGCGAAAGCUACGCUAAUACCGCAUACGAUCUACGGAUGAAAGCGGGGGAUCGCAAGACCUCGCGCGAUUGGAGCGGCCGAUGGCAGAUUAGGUAGUUGGUGGGGUAAAGGCUCACCAAGCCUUCGAUCUGUAGCUGGUCUGAGAGGACGACCAGCCACACUGGGACUGAGACACGGCCCAGACUCCUACGGGAGGUAGCAGUGGGGAAUUUUGGACAAUGGGCGAAAGCCUGAUCCAGCCAUUCCGCGUGCAGGAUGAAGGCCCUCGGGUUGUAAACUGCUUUUGUACGGAACGAAACGGCCUUUUCAAUUACAGAGGGCUAAUGACGGUACCGUAAGAAUAAGCACCGGCUAACUACGUG